rnacentral:rRNA from 1 species
ANCCUGGCGCGGCUUAACACAUGCAAGUUCGAACGGUAACAGAUUAGUACUUGUACUAAUGCUGACGAGUGGCGGACGGGUGAGUAAUGCUUGGGAAUCUGGCUUAUGGAGGGGGAUAACUACUGGAAACGGUAGCUAAUACCGCGUAAUGUCUGUGGACUAAAGGGUGGGACCUAUUGGCCACCUGCCAUAAGAUGAGCCCAAGUGGGAUUAGGUAGUUGGUGAGGUAAAGGCUCACCAAGCCCGCGAUCUCUAGCUGGUCUGAGAGGAUGACCAGCCACACUGGAACUGAGACACGGUCCAGACUCCUACGGGAGGCAGCAGUGGGGAAUAUUGCACAAUGGGGGGAACCCUGAUGCAGCCAUGCCGCGUGAAUGAAGAAGGCCUUCGGGUUGUAAAGUUCUUUCGGUAGCGAGGAAGGUGAUUGUUUUAAUAGAAUAAUCAAUUGACGUUAACUACAGAAGAAGCACCGGCUAACUCCGUGCCAGCAGCCGCGGUAAUACGGGGGGUGCGAGCGUUAAUCGGAAUAACUGGGCGUAAAGGGCACGCAGGCGGACUUUUAAGUGAGGUGUGAAAUCCCCGGGCUUAACCUGGGAAUUGCAUUUCAGACUGGGAGUCUAGAGUACUUUAGGGAGGGGUAGAAUUCCACGUGUAGCGGUGAAAUGCGUAGAGAUGUGGAGGAAUACCGAAGGCGAAGGCAGCCCCUUGGGAAUGUACUGACGCUCAUGUGCGAAAGCGUGGGGAGCAAACAGGAUUAGAUACCCUGGAAGUCCCCCCCCA